rnacentral:lncRNA from 1 species
CUCGGGGCCUCGGACGGGGCGGGGCGGCCUUCCGUGCCGCCGGACCUCACCCCUCCCGGCCCGGGUCGCCCCGUCCGCCGGGAGGGCGCUCGCAGCCCAGGCUUCGGGGAGAGCGCGGCGGUGAGACGCGGCUCCACGUGAGCCAAAGCUGCGGAAACACCGCGCUCUCCCCCGAGCUUCGCGGCGAGGCGUGUAACCCUACACCCGGGGCGCGGGGGCGGAGGGGGGAGGCUCGGCCUGCGGCUGGCGGCUGUCGGGGUGGAAGCCGAGGAAUGCCCUUUGUCUGGACAACUUUUCCGGAGGAGGCGCCCUCUCCCAGGGGCUGUCUCCUUGGAGGUCAAGAGUCACUGCUUUGGAGCUCAGAGUCUUAGAGAUUUCAGUUCCACGACUUCUGCUCCCCGCCUCCCCCAGAAGUUAAUGAUCUGUAAGGUAAGUUUCUGAAAGUUCUAGCAAAGGCUUAGUAUUUAAAGGAAACCUGCCCUCAGCCUGUUUAACAUGCAAAUAUUCACCUUCAGUAUACUCAUUAAAUUUGUUAUUUUGCAAUAAACAAGGGGAUGAAGUGUCACAGCUAUACAGAGGCUUUAACAGGCACCUGUAGGAGACGUAAGAGACACGAGUUUGAUCCCUGGGUCGGGAAGAUCCCCUGGGGAAGGAAAUGACACCCACUCCAGUAUUCUCGCUGGGAGAAUCCCAUGGACAGAGGAGCCUGAUGGGCUACAGUCCAUGGGUAGCAGAGAAGUUGACAUGACUGAGUGUCUGAGCACACAGCACAUAGGUCCUAAAAACACCAUAAGCCGAUCCUUAGAAUGCUCUUAAAUGAUCGUGGCACUCGCAUGUCUCAGGGCAUGUCCCAUUCAUCUGGAUUCUGUUUGGCUCAGCAAA